UGAGCAUUACGGGUUGAGCAUUCUGAAGGUAUGGGUUCUCUAGGGUUGAGAAUUGUGAACGGGUUCUCUCUAGGGUUGGUGAAGAACUGAAGACAACAUCAGCGACGCCGGCGUCAUCUUCGGUUUCGCCCAGUUUUUCGACUUCAGAGGCGCUACCACAGUCAAUCAUCAUGUUAGUUGAGUUGGGGAUUUGAACCCACUUCUUGAUUCGUGAUUUGAACAAUUAAUUGAUGUUAAUUGGAUCAAGAUUUACGUGAUUUGGAUGUCGGAUUUGAAACGGUUACUUGCUAUGGAUUCAAACGGGUUGAAACCGCUUGUUUUGGAAUCUAAUAAGAUGGAAGCCUCGGCCAAACAUUUGCCGAUCAAGAAAAGGAGGAUCGUAUUCAUGGAUUCGUCGCUGUCGCUUAACAACGCUUCAUCCUCAUAAGGGACUGAAAGUGUUGCGCAAGAUGCUAAUGCGAAAGCAGACGUGAAUUGCCUGCCUGCUACAUCGUUGACGGUUGCUGACUUGCAUCAAAGUGAGAGUAAUGAUAGUAAACUGGACGUACACAAGUGUGUGACGUAUAGUAGGAAACGUAAUGAGCGUGAAAAUAUAAGUGGCACAUCUGUAGCUCUUGGUGCUUUAAUAGUGUGAAGUUGGAGAAUAUGUCUGCUAAGGAAACUACUAUCAAUAUGUUAACAACUGCUGAAUCCAGGUUCACAUUAAAAAAAUAUAUAUUCAGUGCCAAUAAGUUUUGAUUUAAACGAGCGGCUGUGCAUACAUGUUAACAGCUGCUGAAUCCAUGUUCACAUCUUUGAGUAUCCAGCUGCUGUGUAUACAUGUUUAUGAUCUUUUUUAUGAAUGCUAAUAAGUUUUGAUUCAAA